AUACGUAGGGGGCUCAACUCCAGACUGGCAUCUAAAACUGCACAUCUUGAGUGUCAGAGGGGAAAGUGGAAUUCCUGGUGGAGCGGUAAAAUGCGUAGAGAUCAGGAGGAACACCGGUGGCGAAGGCGACUUUCUGGCUGACAACUGACGCUGAGGCGCGAAAGCGUGGGGAGCGAACAGGAUUAGAUACCCUGGUAGUCCACGCCGUAAACGAUGAUUACUAGGUGUAGGGGGUAUCGACUCCCUCUGUGCCGCAGUUAACGCAUUAAGUAAUCCACCUGGGGAGUACGGCCGCAAGGUUAAAACUCAAAUGAAUUGACGGGG
rnacentral:rRNA from 1 species